rnacentral:snoRNA from 1 species
CUGUAAUGAUGUGGGCAAAGUGUCGGUCCUGAAACUGCCUUUGUGGACUAUAAUGCCACGGAAGAA